GGAGAGUUUGAUCCUGGCUCAGGAUGAACGCUAGCGGCAGGCUUAACACAUGCAAGUCGAGGGGCAGCAUAAUGGAUAGCAAUAUCUAUGGUGGCGACCGGCGCACGGGUGCGUAACGCGUAUGCAACCUACCUUUAACAGGGGGAUAACACUGAGAAAUUGGUACUAAUACCCCAUAAUAUCAUAGAAGGCAUCUUUUAUGGUUGAAAAUUCCGAUGGUUAGAGAUGGGCAUGCGUUGUAUUAGCUAGUUGGUGGGGUAACGGCUCACCAAGGCGACGAUACAUAGGGGGACUGAGAGGUUAACCCCCCACACUGGUACUGAGACACGGACCAGACUCCUACGGGAGGCAGCAGUGAGGAAUAUUGGUCAAUGGACGCAAGUCUGAACCAGCCAUGCCGCGUGCAGGAUGACGGCUCUAUGAGUUGUAAACUGCUUUUGUACGAGGGUAAACGCAGAUACGUGUAUCUGUCUGAAAGUAUCGUACGAAUAAGGAUCGGCUAACUCCGUGCCAGCAGCCGCGGUAAUACGGAGGAUUCAAGCGUUAUCCGGAUUUAUUGGGUUUAAAGGGUGCGUAGGCGGUUUGAUAAGUUAGAGGUGAAAUUUCGGGGCUCAACCCUGAACGUGCCUCUAAUACUGUUGAGCUAGAGAGUAGUUGCGGUAGGCGGAAUGUAUGGUGUAGCGGUGAAAUGCUUAGAGAUCAUACAGAACACCGAUUGCGAAGGCAGCUUACCAAACUAUAUCUGACGUUGAGGCACGAAAGCGUGGGGAGCAAACAGGAUUAGAUACCCUGGUAGUCCACGCAGUAAACGAUGAUAACUCGUUGUCGGCGAUACACAGUCGGUGACUAAGCGAAAGCGAUAAGUUAUCCACCUGGGGAGUACGUUCGCAAGAAUGAAACUCAAAGGAAUUGACGGGGGCCCGCACAAGCGGAGGAACAUGUGGUUUAAUUCGAUGAUACGCGAGGAACCUUACCCGGGCUUGAAAGUUAGCGACGAUUCUUGAAAGAGGAUUUCCCUUCGGGGCGCGAAACUAGGUGCUGCAUGGUUGUCGUCAGCUCGUGCCGUGAGGUGUCGGGUUAAGUCCCAUAA
rnacentral:rRNA from 1 species